UCGGUAGCUCAGUCGGUAGAGCAACGGAUUGAAGCUCCGUGUGUCGGCGGUUCGAUUCCGUCCCGCGCC
rnacentral:tRNA from 2 species